GAUGAACGCUGGCGGCGUGCUUAACACAUGCAAGUCGAUCGAACCUUCGGGUUAGUGGCGGACGGGUGAGUAACGCGUGGGAAUCUGGCCUCAGGAGGGGGAUAACGGCCGGAAACGGCCGCUAAUACCCCAUAUGCCGAGAGGUGAAAUGAAUUUCGCCUGUGGAUGAGCCCGCGUCUGAUUAGCUAGUUGGUGAGGUAAGAGCUCACCAAGGCAUAGAUCAGUAGCUGGUCUGAGAGGAUGAUCAGCCACACUGGGACUGAGACACGGCCCAGACUCCUACGGGAGGCAGCAGUGGGGAAUUUUCCGCAAUGGGCGAAAGCCUGACGGAGCAACGCCGCGUGAGGGAUGAAGGCCUCUGGGCUGUAAACCUCUUUUAUCAAGGAAGAAGAUCUGACGGUACUUGAUGAAUAAGCCACGGCUAAUUCCGUGCC
rnacentral:rRNA from 1 species